GGAUGUGUAGCUCAAUUGGUUAGAGCAUUCGACUUUUAAUCGGGCGGUUUAGGGUUCGAGUCCCUACACGUUCA
rnacentral:tRNA from 1 species